GUGCUUGCUUCAGCAGCACAUAUACUAAAACUGGAACAAUACAGAAAUUAGCAUGGCCCCUGAGCAAAGAUAGCAUACAAAUUCAUGAAGUGUUCAAUAUUUUA
rnacentral:snRNA from 1 species